AAAGUCUUCAUUAUGUUCUCUUCAUCCAACAAAAUCACGUCAUGUUGAGUUCGUUUGGUCGGCAUUUGGCAAAUUCAGAACCUGUAAAACGAGUAGGAAAACAGAAUUGAAUAGUCUGACGGGUCUGAAAUCUGAACCAAGCAAAAAGAUCAACCUGAAUAAUCUCAACUCAGCUGUCAAGCCAGAGACGUCCUGAAAACGAUCGAGAUGCCCUCAAAGUAUUGCUGCCACAAGUGAUCAUGGCUGGCAGCUACUGUACGCAGGAGAUGCUUGAUUUGAUCCAGCGGCGGAAUGCGGACUCGCGCGCGGCGGCGUGGGCGUGGGGGCGCCCGCUCGCGCGAGCGCCGGCGGCGGCGUGGCUCUGUGAAGUGUGAACUGUAAUCGCGUGGCGUGGCCGUGGCGUGAGAAAAUCAGAUGAGAUCAGAGUCUCAGAGAUCGCCGAUCCCGAUCGCGUCGUCGCUAGGGCUACGGGCUAGGGGGAGGAGAGAGUCGCGUCGAUCAAUUCGAUACACGCGCAACUCGCGUGUGGGGCCUAUGGGCCGUGCGUGCCAGGCGCCAGGAAAGAGAAAUACUACGUCCGUCCCAAAAUAAGUACAACCGUGGAUAUCCGUGUCUAACGUUUAACCGUACGUCUUAUUUAAAAAAUUUAUAAAAAAAUUAAAAACAAUUAGUCCCAUAUAAAAUACUAUUCAUGUUUUAUUAUCUAAUAAUAAUAAAAAUAUUAAUUAUAAAAAAAUUUCAAAUAAGACGAACGGUCAAAGGUUAGACAUGAAUAGUGCAAAACUACUUAUUUUGGGACGGAUGGAGUAGAAUAGAUCGCUUUUUUUUUCUUUUUAAUAGUCGCUAUUUUUUAUAGUGGGGUUGAUGCUGUUUUUUUGGGUGGGACCAUCCACUAAAUCCGCCAUUGUGUCACACGCAUAUACUGCUGUUUUACUGCUGUUUUGGUGCGGGAGAAAACAAAAAAUAACAAGCAAAUUCUGGAUGUCUCGCCUGCCGUCCCUGCUAUCUAGACCAAACACACUCAUCCCAGCUAACCACAUUCGGCCGUGCUGUGCGCCUGUGCUAGCCGAGUCGAGCUGAACCCUUGGUGUGAGUACUGCAGCAUAUAACAUGCUUGGAAUAAAAAAAAUCAAAGUAUAUUGGUCUCAUAUACAAUUAUUGUGACGUUAAAUUAGUAUUAAUUUUAUAGCUAAUAAUAAUAAUAAUAAUAUAAUUUGCAUGAAUAUUAAUGAUCAAAUUUCAGUGUCAAUGCCAUUUUAAAAGCAUAUGUUUCUCAAGAAGAGAAUACGAUAUAGUUUGCAACGUAAUAAAGAAAAAAAUGCACACGCUUAGAUUGGGUUAUAAUAUUCAUAUAUUACUUAAAAAUAAAACAACAAAUAAUAAAAUUUGUGUAUAAAAAAGAUAAGUAUAAACAAAUAUAAAAAGCUGACAAAAAAUAGUAAUUCUACUAAUAUUUCAAUAUUUACAUACUAUUUUAGGAUGUUGGUGCACAAUAUCCAAAAAGAACAUGAUAAAUAGUUUAGAGAGCGGUUGCCCUAUAAUAGUCCCACAACAUAUUUACAUGAUAUACAAGAGAAUUCAUAUAACAUGUUACCUACAUUAUAAAUUUAGUUCUAUAUUUUGUAUAUGGAGUGCAUAUAUGGUAUUAAGCUGUCUAAAAUAUUGUGUGUAGCAUAUAUAUCUAGCAAUUAACAGACAUAUCAUCUCUCUCUUCUCUCACUCACCUCCACAUUAGAAAAUAUAUACGGAAUGGCAUUCUCUCGUAUACGGUGAUUGUACCGUUAUUCAUGCCCUUAGUGCUAAGUGUGAUAUGUUAAAAUUGGAAGCAUGUAACUUAAACAUGUUAAUCCCAUAUUAUAGAAAAGGUAAAACAUUUUUUAGAAAAAUAGCAAGAAAUAAAAAGUAUUUUAUUAUAUGCAAAAUUUAAAUUUACAAAAGUGAGACGAAAUUCACCUGUUUGUUUUGUGUAUACUGUCAUGCUAUAAUUCUUCCUAGGUAUUCUACAAACAUAAAUCCAAGUACACAUUGAAUAAUACUUUUAAUAUAUGAUAUUUACAUAGAUUUUAUCAGUCUCAAAGUAAUUACUUUAAAAAGUAUACAUGUGCUCCAGGAAAAAAAUCACAAGAUAAAUAAGCAAGCUUCAUUUUUCUAGUACAGGAAAAGUAGGAGCUGACCCUAUCGCACAUAGUGACGAUGUAUGGAAGUCGCGAGAACGCAUGAGCGUGAGAAGAGCAGCGGCGUCCUGCGCCUUCGCGAGAGUAGGGCGGCUGGGGCCGAUCAAUAGCAGCCCAUCUUUUCGACCGAUUCGGACCACAACAAAAACACUAAAAUACCCUUCCACCUUAAUUAAGAAAAAACCUAAAAUGUCCAUAAUAAUCAAUGUUCGGAUUUAGAUCCUACUACACUACUAAUGCUACGUGUGGUGGUAGGUAUUUUAAAAGGGAUCGUGUUUUAUAUAUAUCUUAAUUUCAUAUGGAAAAAUCCAAAUAUCCCCUAUUGUAUUUUCAUCCUCCCCUCGUCAACUCAAUUAGAUAUAAAAGACCCCUAACAACUAAAUUUCUCUUCUAACUUCCCCUCCCUUCAUUUUUCACUAAUUUCUCUCCUCGUUUGCUCAAUUUCUCAUGACCCAUGUCAACCUUCAACAUGGUGGUGUGAUAGGAAUCAUAGCGCAAGGGUGCAGCAUGACACAUGGGCUGUGUUCGGCACUUGUGGAUGGGAACUAGUCCCUUGCGGACGUAAAACGGAGCAACUCAUUAGUGUAUGAUUAAUUAAAUAUUAAUCAAUUUUAUAAAAAAUAGAUUAAUAUGAUUUUUAAAGCAACUUUCGUAUAGAAUUUUUUUUAAAAAACAAACCAAUAUCUUUCAGUCAUGAUAAAAAAGAGAGAGGUGAGUUGGGAAAAUUUGGAAACCAACUCAGCCUGGUCUCUUGUGUAGUUAACUGUCAGUCAUUAUUCGAAUUUUGAACAUCACAACAACAAACAUGUCCCAAAAUGUUUCAAGUCCUGAAGGGUCCAAAAUCCAAAGCAGUAAAGUCAGUUUCAAAUUUGAUACUACCUCCGUCCCAAAAUAAGUGCAGCUAUAGAUAUCCGUAUCCCGCGUUUUGACCAUCUGUCUUAUUUGAAAAUUUUAUAAAAAAAAAUUACAAAUAUUAGUCACACAUAAAUUACUAUUCAUGUAUUAUCAUCUAGGAAUUCCUAUCAUCUAAUAACAAUAAAAAUACUAAUCAUAAUUGUUUUUCAAAUAAGACAAACGGUCGAGCGUUGAGCAUGAAAAGUGUUAAAACUGUACUUAUUUUGGGACGGAUGGAGUAGUACUCUUUUAGUAGCAUGUAAGAAACUUCCACCUCGUUUUCUUCUGGUCUUCCACCCAUCACCAUUUCUAAGGGUCUGUUUAGUUCCCAAACAAAAUUUUUCAUGCUGUUACAUUGAAUGUUUAGACAUAUACAUGGAGUAUUAAAUGCAGACAAAAAAAACCAAUUACACAGUUCUUCAGGAAAUUGCAAGACAAAACUUUUAAGCCUAAUUGCGCCAUGAUUUGACAAUGUGAUGCUACAUUAAAUAUUUGCUGACGGAUUAAUUAGGCUUAAUAAAUUCAUAUCGCAGUUUCUAGGCAAAAUCUGCAAUUUGUUUUGUUAUUAGACUAUGUUUAAUACUUCAAAUAUGUGUCCGUAUAUUCUACAUGACAUUGCAGGGGCAAAAUCUUUUGCCAACUAAACAUGCCCUAAAUGUGCUCGCCUUGUCAUUGUGUCAUGGUGUAAUGGGUGGAAACGAGCCGAGCCAGGCUCGGCUCGGCUUGUGAAAGCUUGUCAGGGACAGGCUUGGCUUGGCUUGAUAAAUACAACGAGCAAAAAGGCAGCUUGGCUUGGCUCGUUCCAAAGCUCGAGCUAGCUCGAGCCAGCUUGAACUGUCGACGAGCGUCGCUGAGGAGGGAGGCCGAAGGCGGUGCAGCCGCGCACGGGGAGGAGGAAGCGGGCCGGCGGCACAGAGGGCGUCGAGCGGCGUGGCCUCUAGGAAUAGGGAGGGAGGCGGCGGCCGACGGCGCAGUGAAGGAAGGCGGCGGCCGGCGGCGUAGGAGAGGGAGGUGGCGGCCUUCGGCGGCGGUGGCCGGUGGCGCAGGGUAGGGAGGCGACGGCCGGCGGCGCAGGGGAGGGAGGUGGCGGCCUUCGGCGGCGGUGGCCGGUGGCGCAGGGUAGGGAGAUGGCGGCCGACAGUGCAGGGGAGGGAGGUGGCGGCCGGCGGCCGGCGGCGCCGGUGAGGCCCUCAAGCCCUCGAUUCCUCACGCCCUGUCGCCCAGUCCAGAUGCCCCUCGCCCUCGACCAUCGCUGACUCAUGAUGGCGGCGUGGACGUGUGGGAACUGGGAAGGGAAGGGUUUCUGUGCCUCAGUGCCUGUGCUGUACGCAUAAUAGGUUAGGGUUUCUCAUGGGCCAGACCUGUUAAUGGGCCAGGUCAGAUUUUGCACAAGCUUGACAAGCCUACCGAGCAGCUUGCAAGCUAGCUUGGGCUCGGCUCGAUUUACAAACGAGCUCAGGAGGCAGCUUGGGCUCGGCUCGUUUAGUCUUCGAGCCAAGCCGAGCUUCGCGAGCUCGAGCCAAACCCGAGCCAAGCUCAUGAGCCCGAGCUUUUUGUCCACCCCUAUAAACAUAGCUCCCAUGGAGGCUCACGGGUCACUAGAAACUGGGACAAACAAGAUGAAAUCAUGAGAAAUUGAGCAAACGAGGAGAGAUCAAUUAAUUCUGAUGGAGGGAAAGUUAGAAGGGAAAUUGAGUUAUGGGGGUCUUUGUACCUAAUUAAGUUGUAGGGGUGAAUGUGAAAAUACAAGUGACUUGUAAGGGUGAUAGUAUCUAAUUGAUGCUAGUAAAUCUAGACGAGAGAUAAAAAGACUAAAACAUCUACUAUUAUAAAAGUUGAAGAUGCUUUUGUCAAGAUUUUGGUACCUCAUCCGAAUCCAUUUACGAUUGCUAGAUGCAUCUUAUCAUAAUCUUUACCUAUUAUAAAAAUUAAAAAUAAUUCCAUAUUCAUAGGACGUUUCGUCUGUCCUCGUCACGAUUUCGUCCUAUCGUGUCCGUAUUGAUUUUUUUUUUCUGCUUCCGCCAGCGUUCGUCCAUCAAAAGCGAGUCUGCCUCGGUCAUGAGCAAAGGAGAGUUGAUUUCUCCGGUCGAUUGUGUCCACACUCCACAGUUUCCUUCCCUCCUCAAUCCUUUCUAUAUCUAUACCUAAUAUAAAAAAUCGUAAUUUUCCAAUCGUCACACUUCGAUUCGUCCCGUCACAAUGCGCUUUCACAGCUGCGUGCAUCCUCAGAAUCAGACAGGGAAAAGUCAAGCAUAAACACAUGAACAAAAUCAAAAAUUCCCACGUAGCUAGAUCGUUUCCAAAUUCUCAAUUCCCAACUCGUACACGAAAUUGAAGCGAGAACAUUAAGUUUGUCAAUUUGGACCCCAAAAUUUCCUACACAACUAGAUCGUCUCUAAAUUUCCAAUUCCCAGUUCAUACACGAAACUGAAAAGAAAAGAGAACACUGAAUUGUCAAAUUAGACUCUAAUCCACACAAAUUGGACUCUAAUCCACACCAAUUCAAUUAUAGUCAAAGCAGAGGGAUCCAUGGAAGAAAUCAAACCCAUCCCAAUAAAAACAAAAUUAGCAUUGCAAGAGGAAGUAAUCGACAAAUCGGACCUAAGAGUUUGAGACUCCACCUUGCUGGCUCCGACAAAUCGGACCUCCGCCUUGCUUGCUGGCUGCUGCCCUCGACCCAUAGCUAGCCUUCACCUUGCUAGCCGCCCACCGCCAGAUCUACCAUCUCCAUGGUCACUGUAGCCGCCUUCUCCUCCUCUUCACCGUCGUUGCAGUGUCUCGGAGUGCACAUGAGGCAAAAUGCACCGCGGGCGCACCACGACGGGCAGGAUGAGAGUGCAAGCUUGGGGCGGAAGAUGAGAGAAAGAGGAGUGGAGAAGGUAGGGGCAGAGGCGGCGAGCCGGCUGCUGCUUGCACGGAGGAUGCGACGAUGGACUGGUUGGUGGCGGCUGAGGGUAGUGGGAGGGAGAGGACGGAAUUAGGGAUUAGUGGUGUUGGACU
rnacentral:lncRNA from 1 species